rnacentral:tRNA from 2 species
GGUACUUUAAAUUAAAAGACCUGACUUGCAUUCAGGCAAUAAGUCCAUUGACUUUCA